CUCACUAGGACCGCCCUCGGCCUCUGUUUGGCUAGAGCGCAAAUGAUGACCUCAGGCCAGGUUUAAAGUUACAGGGCUGCAGCUGCAGGCGGCCCGGGACACGCGGGGAGCCUUGAGCGCUGGCAAAAUUGGACCCAGAAGGAGAAGUCUGCAAGUUGCAUUUUAGGGAGCGGGAGGCGCCCCACCCCGGAAGCAGGGGACCAGGCUGCAGACAGGGUACCCUCCACCCUGAGGGGUGCUGGUGAGUGACCGUUAGGAUCUCACCUGCUGAUCCUUCUCGGAGCCUCAGCACCUCCUGGCUUCCUGGGAAGACUUCUCAGCGUCUUCUCUUUUUGCAACACACGCUACUCCAGAGCUGAUAACCACCAGAUUCAAUCUCCAACUCAAAGGCACCUCUGUGAUGCAGGGUAAAAUAGUGCAUUUAGAUGUUUUUUACCCCAGAAUCGAAUUCAGCACCACACAUUGCCCUUCGCCAGCGUGUCUGCAUAUGCCAGAACUCACCUUCAGCCUUGGUCUUUCAUGAACUUGAUGCUUGCUGAAGACCACAGGCCAGUUGCUUUGUAAAAUACCAUUCAGCCUGGGUUUGUCUGUUCUCUCCUCUGGAUUAGAUUCAGUUAUGUAUUUUUGGUUGGACAACACAAGGGAUGCUGUGCUUUCUCAGAGCAUCUCCUGGGUAGGCCCAGUUUCUCAUGCCCGGGAGUGUUAACUUCCAUCCGUCCGCUAAGGUGUGCUGCUCCAGAAUUAGGAACCCCCAGCACGGCCAGACUCACUCUAAUACUGUGUAUGCACAAAGGGAAAAACCAGUGUGCUUGGGACCCUGGGGCUAAUGAGAUUUUUUUUUUUUCACCUCAGAAAAUAUUUCAUAAUAAGAUUUGGGAUGAAUAAGGAGCUGCCUUUCUUUUGUAAAUGGGAGAAGAGUUACUGGGAAGGUGUUUCCUUCUCCUACUGUUUUUAGAGGAAGACUUAUGAAGAUUUGAUUCAUCCUGGGGACAUGUGUAUGCACCCCCAGAUCGAAGACUCCUGCCCUGUCCACCUGCCUGGUUGGAUCUCCUCCCAGCAUUGGGGCCAUCUCACCCCAUCCCACUAGAGCUAAAGGGCUGAGCCCAGUGUGUUCCCAGCUGUGGUGUCUCCCUGCCUCCUUGGAGGAUAUCGGGAGCUCCCUGAAGCCAAGGUUUUAUUCAUCUUUGUAACCCCCCUUGCCUCUGACACAUGCUCCGUAAAUAUCUAUGAAAGCAAAGCUUGUGGUUUUAUCUGGCCUGCUUGAAGAGCCUCCCCACAGAGAACAGCCCUCCCCACCAAUCUCCCCUGCUGCCCAGCCCAGCCCAGAGGCUGAGUCAGUGGCACAUGACAUCCCACCAGCCAGCCUGACUGUGCAAACGCAAAGUACAUGAGUGGCUUCUGAGAUUUCUGUGACGCAACUCUCCAAAUCUUGGCCCAUGCCCCUGUCCCGUGCAAUCUGGCUGGGGGCUAAAAUCCCACAGAGAUUCAUCCCUUAUCUUAAAGACUUGAUCCCUUUUAGAUGCAAGUGUACCUGAAAAGGAUAUACUUAGCUCUUCAGCUUGCAGAAUUUGAUGUGGAAGGGUUUCUCCCCCUUCCCCAAGGGUAGGUUGUGAUCAGGUGUCAAGGGGACUAGUUUCUUGGGUAUUGUCAACAAGGAGAAAGCACACAAACUAGAAAGCUCUGGGAAGCUAAUGACACAUUUACCCAUUUCAUCAUGUUGUUUGGUCAAACAGCAGCUCAGGAUUCAUGCUGUGCUCCAUUCACUGUGGUAACCCAUUGACUCAUUCAUUCAGGAGCCGUUGCUGAUGCUCACCGUGUCACUCAGGCUGCAAUAGCAGCUGUGACAUCUGGGUUUGGCUGGAGCGGGCCAUCCUCUAUCUGACAGACACAACAUGCUGUCAGCCCCCCGGUCAAUAGGUCCACUUCCCCCCUUGUCUGGUGGAGGAAGGUUGAGUCUUCAUUGCCGAGGUGAGGCCCUGUGGCUGACUUGGGACGGAGAAU